rnacentral:lncRNA from 1 species
GUGCCUAGGAAGUCUCAGGAAUGGGUAAGUGCUCCUGCUCCCACACAGUCUACAGACCUGGGUGCAAUGGUGAGAAAGACCUCAGUAAAGCAAAGGAAUUACGAAAGGGAGAGGAUAGAAGAUAAAGUACAUAAUAGUUUCCUGAAGCAGCAGAAUGAAAGAACUCUCUGUGGCAUGAAAAUUUACUAUUCGGAAUCACACCGUCAGUUCUCCUGGUUCUCAACCCUUCAGAGACAGACUGAAUUACACCACCAGCUUUCUUGGUUCUCCAGGAUGCAGAUGGCAUUAACAUGAGACUCCUUUACCUCCAUGACUGUGGAGGCAGCAGCUGAGGCUGUGGUGGGAGAAGAAUGACAAGAACUGAGCGUGGGCCACGGGCUCUUACCUUCAGCAACUUCAUCAGCUCUUCCAGCUGGACCAUCAGCUCCCGCCUGCUCUCCUGCAGGGCCGACAUCCUCUGCUCCAGUUCAUCCUUCCUUUGCCUAUCCAAGACGAGAAGCCUAUCAGAUAAAGAGACCCUCAAAGAUGGAUCUAAGGCCAGGUGAAAUGGAUUUCAGACCUGAUCCUGCUACUUACCAGUUAUGAGACGCUGAGCAAGUCAUUUAGCAUCCAAUACCUCAUAAAAUGGUGAUAAUGUCUGUUUUGCCUACUUCCUGGACUGUUCUGAGAAUAAUAGGUAAAAGUGCUUUGGAAAGUUUAGAUGACUAUAUAAAGGUAUUACUUAUAUUACCAGAGUGAAUUAAUGAUUAAAAAACUCUUUAGAAAAUCAAUGCCUUUUGAAAAAUAUAUAAAAUUAGCCCAAAUUUAGAUUAAUAGUAAAGAAACCAUAUUAAACUGCUCAGAGAAAACAGGGUCCAGUAGUAAGUACUUUCAGCACUAGACAGAUUCAAGAAGGAUGACAGAUCAGGACGGCUCCCUGUGUUCAAGAACAGUCACUUUUCCUUGAGGAUAGAUUUUAUGCCAUCUACUCCAGCUCAAUAUGUCCAAAACCAGACUUAAGACUUUAUUCCCUAAAUGGUUUUCUUGUCUCUGUCUCUUUUUUUUUCCUUGUCUCUGUCUCUUUUCCCUGUCUCUGCUAUUUUUCCUUCCAGGUGUCAUGGUUGAAAAACUCAGUCCUCUUUGUUACUUUCUUCUUUAUAUCCUGUAUUCAAUCAAUAACUCAAUUCAGAUCAUUCUUUCUUGGAAAAUGUAUGUGCCUAUCUUUCUAUUCCCAUUUCUCUCACUUUAUCUAAGCACUCCUUACCUCAAGCAUGAAACAGUCUCCUUAUGUGAUUAAUCCUGCUUUCUUUUUUUUUUUUUUUGUGACGGAGUCUCACUCUGUCGCCCAGGCUGGAGUGCAGUGGUGCCAUCUUGUCUCAACUGCAACCUCCGCUUCCCCAGUUCAAGUGAUUCUCCUGCCUCAGCCUCCUAAAUAGCUGGGAUUACAGGCAUCGCCACCAUGCCCAGUUAAUUUUUGUAUUUUUAGUAGAGAUGGAGUUUCACCAUGUUGGCCAGGCUGGUCUCGAACUCCUGACCUCAAGUGAUCCACCUGCCUCAGCCUCCCAAAGUGCUGGGAUUACAGUCGUGAGCCACCGCACCUGGCUCUUUCAUCUUUUAUGGUGAGGAAAAAGCAGUGAAAUAGAAGUCAAUGGCCUCAAAGUUGAGUAUCAGCACCAGUAUUUACCAAAUAUGCAACCUUAGACAAGUCACUUAGCCUCAGUUUUCUCUCUUCUAAAAGGGGACUAGUAACAGCAACAAUAUUCUGAGGAUCAUAUAAGGUAAUAAAUAUGAGAGUGUUCUACGAACUUUAAACUGCCGCUCAAAACAAAGCUAUGUUCAUUUCAUCAUCCCAUAAUGAUCUCAACAGACUUUCUAGCAUCACUGACCCUUGCCUGUGCAAUCGAGACCUACGCUGUCUAUCACAGCAGCCGCUAGCCACGCGUGACUACCGAGCCCCUGAAACAGGGCUAGGCUGAACUGAGAUGCACGGCAAUUGUAACAUACACACUGGAAUUCAAAGACUUAGUGCAGGAAACAGCAAAGUAUCUGGAUCAUGUUUUAAUACUGAUUACAUGUUGAAAGGACAAUAUUUUGAAAAUAUCAGGUUAAGUAAGAUAUACUAUUAAAAUUAAUGACGCCUAUUA